rnacentral:rRNA from 1 species
GCCUUGGAGUGGGAAUAACAGUUGGAAACAGCUGCUAAUACCGCAUAAUGCAGUUGAGUCGCAUGGCUCUGACUGCCAAAGAUUUAUCGCUCUGAGAUGGACUCGCGUCUGAUUAGCUAGUUGGUGGGGCAAUGGCCCACCAAGGCGACGAUCAGUAGCCGGACUGAGAGGUUGGCCGGCCACAUUGGGACUGAGACACGGCCCAGACUCCUACGGAAGGCAGCAG